GCUGGGCAGGGUGGCGCACGUCUGUAAUCCCAGUGGCUGGGGAGACUGAGGCAGGUGGAUCAUAAGUUCAAAGCCAGCCUCAGCAACUUAGUGAGGCCCUAAGCAACUUAGUGAGACCCUGUCUCUA
rnacentral:sRNA from 1 species